rnacentral:rRNA from 1 species
UGGGGAAUUUUGGACAAUGGGGGCAACCCUGAUCCAGCAAUGCCGCGUGUGUGAAGAAGGCCUUCGGGUUGUAAAGCACUUUUGUCCGGAAAGAAAACGUCGUGGUUAAUACCCGUGGCGGCUGACGGUACCGGAAGAAUAAGCACCGGCUAACUACGUGCCAGCAGCCGCGGUAAUACGUAGGGUGCAAGCGUUAAUCGGAAUUACUGGGCGUAAAGCGUGCGCAGGCGGUCCGCUAAGACAGAUGUGAAAUCCCCGGGCUUAACCUGGGAACUGCAUUUGUGACUGGCGGGCUAGAGUAUGGCAGAGGGGGGUAGAAUUCCACGUGUAGCAGUGAAAUGCGUAGAGAUGUGGAGGAAUACCGAUGGCGAAGGCAGCCCCCUGGGCCAAUACUGACGCUCAUGCACGAAAGCGUGGGGAGCAAACAGGAUUGGAUACCCUGGUAGUCCACGCCCUAAACGAUGUCAACUAGUUGUUGGGGAUUCAUUUCCUUAGUAACGUAGCUAACGCGUGAAGUUGACCGCCUGGGGAGUACGGUCGCAAGAUUAAAACUC